GCUGGGGGCGACUCCAGCCCCGGGCCCCCCUCCGGAGACCCCCGCGGGCCCCGACUCUUCUGCCCGAGUACGAGGGGGACGAUGGGCACGUCACGGCUGUCAUCGUGCACCAGGGUGACAGUGCAGAGGAGGUGACCCGUCGGGUGUGUGCCCGGAGCCCCCUGGAGCCCGGCCCUGCGCCGGGUCCCUGUGCCAGCGGGUGCAGGAGGAGCUCAGCAAGCGGCGGGGACAGGGUGACAGUGCCACCACUGCCCGGGGACACGGCCACCAGGUGCCAUUAAAGGUGCUGCCAGGC